rnacentral:tRNA from 1 species
AGGGGCGUAGUGCAAUGGCAGCACACCGGCCUUUGGAGCCGUGGAUCUUGGUUCGACCCCGAGCGCCCCUG